AAACUCUAGGAGCCCCUAUCCUACAACCCUGAUACUAGACCUCCAGAAUUUCCUAUCAAGGGCCAUGUCCUCGGAAACCUGCAUUCUAGCCAUGUCGUGCCUAAUCACCUCUCCGCAAUACCUCUUAGGCCUCCCUCUGCCUCGCCGUAUGCCGACCAUCGCCAGAAGCUCACAAUUCCUCGCCGGGGCAUAAGGACUUCUCCUCCUCACAUGCCCGAACCACCUCAGCCUCGCUUCUUGCAUCUUCUCAUCCACCGGGGCCACCCCACCUUCUCUCGAAUAACUUCAUUCUUAAUCUUAUCUAACCGGGUGAGCCCGCAC
rnacentral:lncRNA from 1 species